rnacentral:lncRNA from 1 species
UCUGCUUUUGUGGUCCACAGGUUGGGAAACAUGAGAGGGCAAGAUACCUGCUUUCAACAAAGAACUAAUUUCCUGAUCCUCAUGACCCUAGCGAGCCAAGCUUCCCCACAGAGAAACAAAUUGGAUGACUGUUUUAGGAUAAUUGGGUAGUUCUAUGCCUUACAACCUACAAGAAUGACAACCUGAGGACAACCAUGAGAGCCAGGAACAGGCCAUCAAACACAGCUUUAGAGGUCAUAUUCCUUUUGGCACCAGAAAGAACAAUGGCCAUAAGUGAUUUGCUUUGCAUUUAUGGCUUUUACCUUGCAUGCAACUCGUAUCACUUACAAACUCCCACAGAGAGUCUCUGCCCCCCUGAGAUGUUGUUACAAACCACGCACAAGCAGAAGUCUGAACAAAGAGGGCAGCUGCCUGAAAGCCACAGGAACACCUGAAGUCAGAGGAACUGCUACUUACCAGAACAGGUUCUACUACCUGGGUGUCUGGUCUAUCAUUUGGUAGGUCUGGGCACCAAUAUCCUUCCUGAACACAGGAGGUGCUGCAAAGGCAAAAGUGGAAGAGCCUAAAAUAAAAUAC